UUAGUGUUAGGGGCUCGGAGACACAGAGCGCGGCCAUAGACACCGCCGCACCGGCACUCAUUUAUUUAUACCUCCCAUCACACACGCGAGCAUAGGACACACACACACUCACACCUAUUAGAUCCGUUUCCAUUGAAGAAUAUUACGCUCGGGGACAAGCCAGGUGCACGACCAAAAAUUUAAAAAAAAAAAAAAAAGGAAAAAAGAAAGGAAAGAAAAGAAGAAA
rnacentral:lncRNA from 1 species